rnacentral:lncRNA from 10 species
CACAGAAGUCACUUAACUAAGUCUAGGUUCCUCAUCUGUGAACUGAGAAAACUAAAAGCACUGAUUCCAUGGGGUGCUGCCAGUAGGAAGAAGUCACCCAUGACUAUCUGGAACAACAUUGUGGGGAAGGCCAAGUUUCUGGUACUCUUGGCCUCAAGCAAUCCUCCCACCUCAGCCUCCCAAAGCACUGGGAUUACACACAUGAGCUACUAGGCCCGGCCUCUUCUGUCUUUUUGUAGGUGUGGGUAUACAAAGAUGCAGAUAUAAACAGGGGUGACGUGUGGCAAAUGGAUUGUAAAUGAAGAUAGACUGUGUAAUGAAUGACGACACUAAAGACUAAUGUGAAGGACUUUAGGGAAAACAAAAGGCUUUCAUCUGAAAGGAUGAUCUGUGGACCAAGGUCACUCAUACCACUCACUGCUCAUUUUCUCAUGUUAUUUUAAAACUUUUUUCGGCCUUUAUACUGCUUUCAGCAGCAUUUGUGUGUAAGAAGUGGACGAUGACUUUAAUAAAGAGAAAAGACAAUACCUAAGAUGUUUUCACAGAUUCACUAAUCACCAACAUUUCUUUGAAUGUAAAAAAUCUUAUAAAGGUUGUUUGCAGAAAUUAAAUUAGUAAUUUCCCAAAUUUGACAUGCUAUUUGAUUCUGUUAGCAGAUAAUACAACUAACUUUUUUUUGUUCGUACGUUUUCAUGGUUACAGAGCUGGAGAAAGAAACGUUAUGUAUGAGAAAAUACUUUGGUUUAAAUUGUUUACGAGUAAUUUCUCUCAUACUGAUGUGCUAAAUGGCUUCUCUUUGUCCCUCCAGGUCACUCUCCAUCUUUUCCGCCAGUGCCCAACUGACUGAUCUUUACAGAUGGUGUCAACAGAUGCAUCUACCCUCUGGCUUCAAGUUGAGUUGGCCAAUGAAGGGAGGCGCUGCGGAAAGUACAUGACAUUUGCAGUUGUGGGCGACUGUGCUGUGGGAUGAAACCAGGCUCCUCAUCAAGAUGAACAUAGAUUCAAGUCUCCAUCUUAGCCAUUUCCUAGUUCUGUGAUUAUAAAUAAACUCCUUGACUUUUCUGA